AGCCACAGCCAUGUCACCCUGCAGCCCAAGACCGGUUACUCACUGAAGCUAAGCAGGGCUGAGCCUGGUCAGUACCUGGAUGGGAGACCACUAGGGAACACUAGCUUGCUGUUGGAA
rfam:Danio rerio chromosome 3, GRCz11 reference primary assembly.